UCGGCAAUGGGCGAAAGCCUGACCGAGCGACGCCGCGUGCGGGAUGAAGGCCUUCGGGUUGUAAACCGCUGUCGUUGGGGAGGAAGUGCAGGGGGGUUCUCCCCUCUGUUUGACCUAUCCAAGGAGGAAGUACGGGCUAAGUUCGUGCCAGCAGCCGCGGUAAGACGAACCGUACGAACGUUAUUCGGAAUUACUGGGCUUAAAGGGUGCGUAGGCGGUGUUCUAAGUCAGGUGUGAAAUCCCCCGGCUCAACCGGGGAAUUGCGCUUGAGACUGGAUCGCUAGAGUGAGGUAGGGGUGUGUGGAACUUCCGGUGGAGCGGUGAAAUGUGUAGAUAUCGGAAGGAACGCCGGUGGCGAAAGCGACACACUGGGCCUUGUCUGACGCUGAGGCACGAAAGCUAGGGUAGCGAACGGGAUUAGAUACCCCGGUAGUCCUAGCCGUAAACACUGAACACUGGAGGGGAGGGGGUUCGCCCUUUUCCUUCGUAGCGAAUGCGUUAAGUGUUCCGCCUGGGGAGUAUGGUCGCAAGGCUGAAACUCAAAGG
rnacentral:rRNA from 1 species